rnacentral:lncRNA from 1 species
GAAGCAGACGAUCGAGAUCAUCUAUUCCGAAUUAAUUACUUAAUUAAUACUGAAUUACAUAAAAUUGCAGGAGCUUUUAGCCCGGAAAUCAGGCAAGAUAGCAAGGCAACUGCAGAAGAACCCGCACUACGACGAUCUCUGGCGCGACGUCAACACCGAUGAAGAAUCCAUGGAGCUACUUGCAAAAUUCUGCCAUGGCUAUGACAUCGACCUCUCACCGGAAAACGUGGUUCCCUUAGCUUGCGUAGCAAAAUCCCUCGACAUGACGGACACCCAUUGCCCCAACAAUCUGUUGAGCAAGACGGUGUCGUUUUUUGAAGAACACGUUAUGCAUAGCUGGGACAACUCCAUCAAAGCCAUCAAGUGCGCCGAGAGAGUGCUCAGGCAAGCGGAUGAGCUCGGCCUAUUGGACUGCUGCGUUGAGACGCUCAUCUUGAAGGCGCUCGAGGAUCCGCGUCUAUUGGGGGAGCCUUUGAUGAGGAACGAUGAUGAAAAUGAAGCUGAAGAUAAUUAUAUUAGGCCUAACACUAGGAGGAAACUCUUCGUCAUGGAAUGGAAAAACGAAGAUCUCACCACUCUCCCUUUGAAGCUUUAUGCGUCGAUCCUCAGAGCCAUGAUCCAGCGCCAAGUGCCGCCACAAUUUGUGGCGGCGAAUCUAUUCCGAUACGCCAAGAAUUGGAUACUGUGCAAGGAGGAGGUGAGAGGUGAGAGAGAGACGAUUGAGAUUUUGGUGAGGCUGAUUCCUCAGCAAACAGGGCUGCUUCCGUGCACGUUUCUGUGUGAAAUGCUUCGUUUGGCCAUUGUUGUUGAAGCUGAUGCGGAGUGCAGAAACGCGUUGGAGCUGAGGAUCGGGAUGCAGUUAGAGCAGGCGGAGACGAAGGAUCUUGUGAUGGCUUGUAGCCAUGGAUAUGAAAAAUACAAUGCGGAGUGCUUGAGAAGGAUCGUGAGCAAUUUCUACAGCAACGACAGCGUGGAUAACUUGGGAGCGCUGAGGUCGGUGGCGGAGCUGAUGGAGGAGUUCCUGGCAGAGAUCGCGGCGGACAUAGAUCUGAAGACGUCGACGUUUCUGCAGGUUGCUGAGCUGUCGGCUGCAGCGGCGGAGGGAGCUAAUCAGAGAAGCUGCGACGGAAUGUACAGGGCGGUGGACGUGUUCCUGGAUAAGCACAGGCAUUUGACGGAGUCGGAGAAGGAGGAUUUAUGCGGCAAGGUUUUGGACUGCAAUAGGCUGUCUGGUGAGGCACUGCAGCAUGCGGCCUCAAACGAGAGGCUGCCGCUGCGAGUGGUGAUGCACGCGCUGUUCGCAUCGCAGUUGAGGCUGCGGGAAGCGAUACCGAAAGUUGAAGGAGGUGGAGGUGAAGUAGAGGAGGAGGUGAGGGCGGAGAUGGAGAAGAUGGGGAGCAAAGUGUCGAAGCUAGAGAGAGAGUGCAACGUGAUUAAGAAAGAGAUGGCGAGAAAUUGUGUGAAGAGGGAAAAGGUGAGCGUGUGGAGGGAGAUGAAGAGGAAGUUCGGGUGCAUGACUACCACCCAUCACUGCGACUGUCAUGUCAAGAAGAAGAAGGUGCAUCCUAGAUGAUUCUUAUUGAUCUUCAUAUUUGUUAUAUUUUGGAUGAUACUUUCUUUAUUUUUUAUUACACAUUAAUUUUACUUUAAGUUUCCUUUAACAGAAAUGCUGCGUUGGAGAAUAUAAGGGCUAAAUUUCGUUCUAAAUCAUUUAUGAAAAGUACAUUUGUCAGAUAAUAUGUAUUUGAGUAAAUAUGAGUAUUUUUUUUUCUAAGGCAGGAGUAAAUGUAUACAUUGAGUAAAUAAAAUAUAAAUACUUCACUUCUGUUGUUCCGAAAAAUCAGUUAAAAUUGUUUAACAGCAAUAACAGAAAAGUUUGAAGUUGAGAUAAUACACAAAUCCGAAAUGAAAAAUGAAUGAGAAUUAGUUGAGGAAAAUGGGGAUGUUAAUAUAAAUCGAAAAUUGUUUCUCUUUUUGGGGUUGCAAUUUGCGCCGCAGCGUUUCCAUCUCUUUCUCCCCCAUCGUCUUCUAUUGUAGCAAAUGCUAAAUGCUACCAUCUCUCGAAACAACUGACACUCAAAUCUAGAUUAGUUCAGCAUCAUCGCUUACUCUCAAGUCAAAUACGCACCAACUCCCUCAACUGUAUAUAUCUCUCUACACGCAGUAAACCCUCUCAACUCAACAAUUCAAUUUGUUUGCGUUGCGCUACUCACUGCGUGAAAAGAUGCAGCAAAAUCUCGCUUCCAAAGCCAGGUAAAAUCAAUAAAUCAUGAACCAUAAAUGCAAUAAUUCGUGCUUUGAUUGUUAAAACUCAUCUUUUUACUUUGUUUUAAUUGCGGCUUUUUUUUUUCUUUUUGGUUUUUAAAAUAAAUAAAAAUAAAUUAAGUAUGAUUGAUUUAUUUUGGUCUGUAUAUCGAUUUCCUUUUGUGGUUGUGGAUAAUGUGAUUUUUUGGCGGGAAAAUGGCCAAACAUGGCUGAAAUUGGCUUUUAUAUAUACACUAGUACUAGUAUUGUAUCUGUGCGAUGCGCAACAUAAAUAAUAUAAAAAUUUUAUAUACACAAAGUGUUAAUUUAUCAGCUAAUUAAUAAUAUCGAAAGGUAAAUUAAAAUAAAAUUUAGUAAAUAGGAGUACUAUAUUUAAAAGUAUUACUCCAUCAUAAGUUGACUAACUAAUAAUAAUUGAAUUAAUCCGAAUAUUGUAGCUCAAUACUUCAUUUGUUCACCAAAAGAAUGAUAUUUUUAGUGGGCACGCAUGUUUAAUAGUAAAAAAAUUAAUAAAGGGAUAUAGUCAAUUCAUCCACGAAAAAGAGUCUCAUCCCUUUUUCUUGUCCACGAAAAAGAAUUUUAUUUUACUUUUUGAACCAUCACAUCUUACAUUUUCUCUUAUAUUUAAUUAUAAAUUAUACUUUUAUUCUAUUUUUUAACUAAUAAUGUACAUGUAUUUUAUUUGUUUGUACUAACACUACCUCUACAAAAUGUACCUUUAUUCCACUUACAAUAAGUUUAAUAAAUUUAUUAAAACUCGUGUCUACCCUCAAAUAUGACUAUUUUUUCGUGGACACAUGAAGUACUUAUUAGAAGAUAUUCAAGUAAUAAAGACCAUUAGCGUUAAUAGAGAUAUUUAUUGUUCAAUCACUACCGUUUCCCUUCCUCAUCUGAAAAAUUUACAAAAUUAUGUGUAUUAGUGUACAUAGGGGUGGGAAUCGGGUCGGGUUUGGGUACCCUACCCGAAAAAAUUGGGUACCCGAACCCGAAAAUUGACCAAAACCCCUACCCGAUCCCGAACCCGAUUCUGAAAUCGGGUACCCUAAUACCCGAGUCGGGUAUCCGAUUCGGGUAUUCGGGUACCCAAAAUUACCCGAUUAAUGAUUGAAAUUAGACUCCUCAAAGUCAAAAAAAAAUUGAAGAGAAAUCCGCAAAAGAAAAAGGAAGAAGCAUACCUGCUGACUGGCGACUGCUGUGCUGUUUGAGCUCGGAGGCGGGGCGGUGGCCGGUGGAGGCCUGGAGUGCUAACUGCGACGUCGGCUGUGGGUGGGUUCGACGGGGACGGGGACUGGAACUGGAACUGGAACAGGGGGAGGCCGAGUGGUGGCGCAGGAGGGCGACGACGGGCAGAUGAAAGGCGCCGGCGCGCCACUGGGUGGGAGGCCGGAGGCGGGACGGGGAGGCAGGGAAUAGGGGCGGAUUCGGCUGAAGUUAGAGGCAGGGAAUAGGGUUUGGCCGUUUGGGUUUCAAACUUAAUUGAUUUAAACUUAAAAAAUUAAAUUUAAUUCAAUAAUUUAAAAUCGGGUAUUUCGGGUAUACCCGAUACCCGAUUUUUUUACACCCUAACUAUCCGAACCCGACCCCGACCCCUAAUUUUUCGGGUAUAAGGUACCCGAUACCCGAUUUUUUCGGGUCGGGUAUCGGGUACCCAAUUACCCGAUCCCGAAAUUCCCAGGCCUAAGUGUACAAAUAGAUAGAUAGAUUGGUUUUAGGAAUCAACAGCCAACACUAUAUAAGAUAAUUUUUGAAACCAUAAUUGGAUUAUAACUUGAAAUUUAAAGCUCAACUAUUAUUUCAAAUAAAGAGAACUUAAAGCCAAAAACUAUUACUCCCUCCGUCCCAGCUUUUAGUAUCCAACUUUUCUUUUUUGGCCGUCCCACAUUUUAGUAUCCACUUCUAUUUUUAGUAAAAGUAGGUGGGGCCCUUACUCCACUUUAAUUAGUAUUUUAACUCUCACAUAAAAUGUGGGACCCUUAUUCCACUCACAACACAUCAAUCACUUUAUUAAAACCCUUAUCGUUCUCAACUGGAUACCAAAAGCCGGGACGGAGGGAGUACUAUAUAAAAAAAAGGCCAAAUAAAAAGAAGCCCAGCCCUUUACGCAAACCAGCAACCAAUUUCUUAAAAAAAAUUACUUACAUUUAACAAAAACAAUACCUUUAAGUAACGCACAAAAAUAAUUAAACAAUAGGUAUAAAAUAGAGAGCAACCCUAAUGUCAAUUCUAAAAUCUAAAUCAGUGCCCCUUCUUUUCUUAUUUCUCAUCAGCGGCACUUCUUCUUAUUCCUUCAGCAGCAAUGUUUCUUCUUCCAUCUGCUUCUUUUUUCUGUAUUUAUUGAAUCUAACCAAAACAUCAAACCUGACACUAAAUUAUAGUUAUUUAUUUUUCUACAUGCGAAUUGAUGGGUUCUAUACCCCUCAGAUCAAGAUAGAUUGGGCUGGUGAGUGUGCUUAGGCUUGUAAUUCUCUCAUUCUUUCUUCGUCUCUGAAGUGAAAAGCUUGAGAAACAUAUUUCUUUUAUCCAGAUUCCAGGUUUUAUGCAGAGAUUUUUUUUUCAACAGCCAAGGAAAAGUUUACGUAAAAUGACAUAAAUGAUCUGAUAUUUAUACUAAUCAAUUUCUUGGAGCCAAAGUCUGUAUCUUCAUUUGUUUCGUGGAUAAUAUGAUAUUUAAAUGGGUAUUGACCAGUAGCAGAUUACACAAUAAAUAAAGGCCAAAACUCGUAGAAAUCAGUGUCUAUUAUCCAACAGAUAAAUAACUUAUAAGUUCACUGCAAAAACAAUUAUAGCAAUGGGGAAACUUUUGCAGCUGAAAACUUUGCUUAUAUAUAUAUGUAUAAGAUAUAGUAGAUAUAGAUAUAGAUAGAGAUAUAGAUUUCUAUCACUGAGGAUUAAAAUUCGUUACGAUAUGCUCCUUAUUGUUUCUUGUUUCUUGUUUCUUUCUGAUUGAUUUACAGCAUUGUGAAGGUGAGUAGAGGUGCUUCUAUAUAUGAAAUGGCUGCAGCUAGAAAAGGAUUAAUAGAAUCCCAAGCAGGUAAAUUAAAUUAAACAAACUCUAAUCGUUUUCUUCAAUUCAUAUUUUUGUCCCACUUGUUUAAUUUUGUUGUUAUUGUAGGAGGCAUCGUCCCCUAUUAAAAUCUGAACUCCAUCCUGGACAAAUUUUCACACUGGAUACGGUAAACUAACAGAAUUAAGCAGACGAUCGAGAUCAUCUAUUCUGAAUUAAUUAAUUCUGAAUUACAUAAAACUGCAGGAGAUUUUAGCCCGGAAAUCAGGCAAGAUAGCAAGGCAACUGCAGAAGAACCCGCACUACGACGAUCUCCGGCGCGACGUCAACACCGAUGAAGAAUCCAUGGAGCUACUUGCAAAAUUCUGCCAUGGCUAUGACAUCGACCUCUCACCGGAAAACGUGGUUGCCUUAGCCUGCGUAGCAAAAUCCCUCGACAUGACGGACACCCAUUGCCCCAACAAUCUGUUGAGCAAGACGGUGUCGUUUUUUGAAGAACACGUUAUGCAUAGCUGGGACAACUCCAUCAAAGCCAUCAAGUGCGCCGAGAGAGUGCUCAGGCAAGCGGAUGAGCUCGGCCUAUUGGACUGCUGCGUUGAGACGCUCAUCUUGAAAGCGCUCGAGGAUCCGCGUCUAUUGGGGGAGCCUUUGAUGAGGAACGAUGAUGAAGAUGAAGUUGAAGAUAAUUAUAUUAGGCCUAACACUAGGAGGAAACUCUUCGUGGUGGAAUGGAAAUACGAAGAUCUCACCACUCUCCCUUUGAAGCUUUAUGCGUCGAUCCUCAGAGCCAUGAUCCAGCGCCAAGUGCCGCCACAAUUUGUGGCGGCGAAUCUAUUCCGAUACGCCAAGAAUUGGAUACUGUGCAAGGAGGAGGUGAGAGGUGAGAGAGAGACGAUUGAGAUUUUGGUGAGGCUGAUUCCUCAGCAAACAGGGCUGCUUCCGUGCUCGUUUCUGUGUGAAAUGCUUCGUUUGGCCAUUGUUGUUGAAGCUGAUGCGGAGUGCAGAAACGCGUUGGAGCUGAGGAUCGGGANAAGUAUCAAUUUAGCCCCCUAAUGUAGAGGCCCCUGUAGCCAAUACAACCCUAUGCGCAGGGGUGUCUCAACUAAACCCCUAAGGUCCAUGUUUUGCGUCAAGUAGACCUCUCCGUCUAACGGAGAGUUAACACCGUUAACUAUUGUUAUUCUUUUUAUUUUUUUAUUUUGUUGGUGGUGGGACCCACACCUUCUUCACCACCAAACUCGCCGGAAACCUAAUCCUAUCCUUGUCAGCCCACUUCUCCUUCCCCGUCGAACGUCACCAGUGGCCUUUAGCACCACGACUCACGAACUAAGUCCACCCGAAACUCCGGCCUGUGCCCGAACCUCGAAUCGGAACCAUUGUAAAUCCCCAAAAGGCGAGGGCAGCAGACCAAUACAAAGUUGAGAAGUCCAACCCCCAGAUGAGGCCGGCUCUAGCCAUUUGGAUUUUGAUCGGAUGCCUUGCCCAACCCUCACAACCGCCGGUAAGAAGAAGAAAUUGUAGAAGCCCUUAUUUCAAAUGCAACCCCAAUGGACCUUUUUUCCCUUUGUGUUUAACAGCAACAGAAAACUCAAGAGUGGCUUCCUUGGCCGGCGACGUGAUUUUUCGAAACAGAAAUGGAGAUCGGUGAUAAUAAAAAGGAAUUUUUAGCCUCAACAUAGAUCGAGAGAGGGGAAUUGCUCUGAACUUUCCCCCUUUUUAGCCUGAUUUCUGGCGAUUCCCGCUCCGGUAAGGUAGAUUGGCCCGCCGAAAAUGAGUUUCAGAGAGAAAAGGGCGGUGAAGUGCCAUUGAGCAGCCGGUCGCGGCAGAGCAACAACGAGAUCGAGUCGAGAUUCGUGGGGGAUUGCUUGUUGAUCUGGCAAUGACGGCGAAUGGUCGAACGGUAGUGAUGAGGCCCGAUUUCUAUGGUUCACUGGAGAUGAUGAUAGAUCUGGUUUUCUUGACUAAUUUUAAUGGUGGGCCCCACAAAAAAAAAAAACCCAAAAAAAAUUAAAUUACAAACGGAGUUUACGCUCCGUUAGAGUGAGGGGCCAAUUUGACGAAAAUUAUAGACUAUAGGGGUUUAGUUGACACACCCCUGCCCAUAGGGUGUUAAUAGCUACAGGGGCCUCUACGUUAGAGGCCAAAUUGAUACUUAACCCUAUAAAAAAUUACUUACAUUUAACAAAAACAAUACCUUUAAGUAACGCACAAAAAUAAUUAAACAAUAGGUAUAAAAUAGAGAGCAACCCUAAUGUCAAUUCUAAAAUCUAAAUCAGUGCCCCUUCUUUUCUUAUUUCUCAUCAGCGGCACUUCUUCUUAUUCCUUCAGCAGCAAUGUUUCUUCUUCCAUCUGCUUCUUUUUUCUGUAUUUAUUGAAUCUAACCAAAACAUCAAACCUGACACUAAAUUAUAGUUAUUUAUUUUUCUACAUGCGAAUUGAUGGGUUUUAUACCCCUCAGAUCAAGAUAGAUUGGGCUGGUGAGUGUGCUUAGGCUUGUAAUUCUCUCAUUCUUGCGCUCCCCUCUUUCUUCGUCUCUGAAGUGAAAAGCUUGAGAAACAUAUUUCUUUUAUCCAGAUUCCAGGUUUUAUGCAGAGAUUUUUUUUUUCAACAGCCAAGGAAAAGUUUACGUAAAAUGACAUAAAUGAUCUGAUAUUUAUACUAAUCAAUUUCUUGGAGCCAAAGUCUGUAUCUUCAUUUGUUUCAUGGAUAAUAUGAUAUUUAAAUGGGUAUUGACCAGUAGCAGAUUACACAAUAAAUAAAGGCCAAAACUCGUAGAAAUCAGUGUCUAUUAUCCAACAGAUAAAUAACUUAUAAUGUUCACUGCAUAAAACAAUUAUAGCAAUGGGGAAACUUUUGCAGCUGAAAACUUUGCUUAUAUAUAUAUGUAUAUAGAUAUAGGUAGAUAUACUGAUAUAGAUAUAGAUAUAGAUUUCUAUCACUGAGGAUUAAAAUUCGUUACGAUAUGCUCCUUAUUGUUUCUUGUUUCUUUCUGAUUGAUUUACAGCAUUGUGAAGGUGAGUAGAGGUGCUUCUAUAUAUGAAAUGGCUGCAGCUAGAAAAGGAUUAAUAGAACUCCCAAGCAGGUAAAUUAAAUUAAACAAACUCUAAUCGUUUUCUUCAAUUCAUAUUUUUGUCCCACUUGUUUAAUUUUGUUGUUAUUGUAGGAGGCAUCGUCCCCUAUUAAAAUCUGAACUCCAUCCUGGACAAAUUUUCACACUGGAUACGGUAAACUAACAGAAGCAGACGAUCGAGAUCAUCUAUUCUGAAUUAAUUAAUUCUGAAUUACAUAAAACUGCAGGAGAUUUUAGCCCGGAAAUCAGGCAAGAUAGCAAGGCAACUGCAGAAGAACCCGCACUACGACGAUCUCUGGCGCGACGUCAACACCGAUGAAGAAUCCAUGGAGCUACUUGCAAAAUUCUGCCAUGGCUAUGACAUCGACCUCUCACCGGAAAACGUGGUUCCCUUAGCUUGCGUAGCAAAAUCCCUCGACAUGACGGACACCCAUUGCCCCAACAAUCUGUUGAGCAAGACGGUGUCGUUUUUCGAAGAACACGUUAUGCAUAGCUGGGACAACUCCAUCAAAGCCAUCAAGUGCGCCGAGAGAGUGCUCAGGCAAGCGGAUGAG